GACGAACGCUGGCGGCGUGCUUAACACAUGCAGGUCGAACGGUAAGGCCCUUCGGGGUACACGAGUGGCGAACGGGUGAGUAACACGUGGGUGAUCUGCCCUGCACUUCGGGAUAAGCCUGGGAAACUGGGUCUAAUACCGGAUAGGACUCCGGACUGCAUGGUCUGGGGUGGAAAGCUUUUGCGGUGUGGGAUGGGCCCGCGGCCUAUCAGCUUGUUGGUGGGGUGAUGGCCUACCAAGGCGACGACGGGUAGCCGGCCUGCGAGGGUGACCGGCCACGAUGGGACUGAGAUACGGCCCAGACUCCUGCGGGAGGCAGCAGUGGGGAAUAUUGCACAAUGGGCGCAAGCCUGAUGCAGCGACGCCGCGUGAGGGAUGACGGCCUUCGGGUUGUAAACCUCUUUCAGCAUCGACGAAGCGAAAGUGACGGUAGGUGCAGAAGAAGGACCGGCCAACUACGUGCCAGCCGCCGCAGUAA
rnacentral:rRNA from 1 species